UACAAUAGCCUUCGCUUGACUCACCUGCCAGUCUACCUGUACCCUUCACCUGGCUACCUUACCUGCCUCCUUCUCACCUGUACCUUUCACUGAUUGGUAGAUGGGAAAGUGGCUUAGCUGCGUGGAUUAGCAGCUUGGGUAAAUUGAAACAGACUGGCACUCUCCUCUCAAUCAUGGCAUCGUACAAUGGGGGAAGGAAAAGGCUAACUGCAGCGGAGUACAUACGUUUAAAGAGACAAGGCAAAAUAGUAGACGAGAAAAAGCCAGCAAGAGAUUUGAAAAAGGAGGCGGAGGAGCGAAAGAAGAAGGAGGAAGAGGAGCAGAGGA